UUGGCUUGGUCAAAUCAGUGUUCAAACUAUCUCCUGCCGUUUCAAGAGGAUCUAGGGCUCUAGAAG
rfam:Macaca mulatta 1099214626144, whole genome shotgun sequence.